CUUAGGCUAGAUAUUAAAUUUUUCUGCAUUAUAUAUGUUUACCAUCUGCUUAGUUAUCCAGUCAAUCAUAUGCUGUUACUCAACCAUAAGAGCAAUUUUUUUGUUUGCAUACAUCUCAUUUUAGUAGCACAUGAUUAAGGUUGGAUAUAAGAAUUCGGGUUCUUUUGUAAUUUGUUGCUCAUUGUCGGGGUUAGUUUUUGUUUAUAGUACUCCAACCUCUUGUAUUCAGGCUACGAUGUGAGAUCGCAUGUUUUUUUGCUUAACAGAAUGCAGAAACAUAUUAUUCUCUUAAGAUCAAAGAUCUCCCUUAAAGACUUAAAGUUAAUAAAGGACAACAAAUCUACAAAUCUAGAUCAAAGAACAGCUACCACCUUAAUAUUAUAUCUGCUGUGUUUCAAACUAAAAGUUCUGCUGGUGGAGUUGAAUACUACUGUAUAAACUACAACUAUAUUGUGACAACCCGGGUCAAAUCCCGAGUCUUUUUCGAAAAUCAGGUCAAGUCCCGAACUCCGAAUCCAAAAAUAAGCCGAAAUAAACUAGCCCAACUGCAACAACUUGGGUAAUCCACAAGCCCACCAUAGGCCCCCAAAAGAUCAUGAUUUGUUGGUGCAAUUGGUAGUAGUACUUAUGCUUAUAAACUGAACUAAAGUCUCCACACGACUCGAUGUGGGACUGGGGUGUUACAAACUCCCCCACUUAAAUUCCUGACGUCCUCGUCAGGCCGAAACGGAUAGCCCAUAGGUCCAGAUCGAACCUCUCUAGCCAUUGUGGGAUAAUACCGGCUGGCUUCGUGUCCCCGCCUCCGGAUCUCUGUCCAUUGCGGGAUAAUACCACCAGCCUUCGUAUCCCCACCUCCGGCAACUUGACGAAUCAAGCUUUCGAGAGCCUGCUCUGAAUACCAUAUGUGACAACCCGGGUCAAAUCCCGAGUCUUUUUCGAAAAUCAGGUCAAGUCCUGAACUCCGAAUCCGAAAAUAAGCCGAAAUAAACUUGCCCAACUACAACAACUUGGGUAAUCCACAAGCCCACCACAGGCCCCCAAAAGAUCAUGAUUUGUUGGUGCAAUUGGUAGUAGUACUUAUGCUUAUAAACUGAACUAAAGUCUCCACACGACUCGAUGUGGGACUGGGGUGUUACAUAUAUACUGCUGAAUUUAAAAAUGUAGCUGUAAAACUGCUGGCAAGUGUCAACACUAUUUCCCAAAUUUAAUUGACCAGUUAAUUGAUAUUCAUAUUUAAAUGUUUGAAGUUUGCAAUUUUUAAGGUUGUUCCAUGUCUCCAUUAUGUUAAAAUGUCACAGGA
rnacentral:lncRNA from 1 species